GGAGGAGUGGCCGAGAGGCUGAAGGCGGCGGUCUUGAAAACCGCUGGCCCGAAAGGGCUCGCAGGUUCGAAUCCUGCCUCCUCCG
rfam:Deltaproteobacteria bacterium 13_1_40CM_68_24 13_1_40cm_scaffold_7812, whole genome shotgun sequence.